CGAAGGGUGCAAGCGUUACUCGGAAUUACUGGGCGUAAAGCGUGCGUAGGUGGUUUGUUAAGUCUGAUGUGAAAGCCCUGGGCUCAACCUGGGAAUUGCAUUGGAUACUGGCAGGCUAGAGUGCGGUAGAGGAUGGCGGAAUUCCCGGUGUAGCAGUGAAAUGCGUAGAGAUCGGGAGGAACAUCUGUGGCGAAGGCGGCCAUCUGGACCAGCACUGACACUGAGGCACGAAAGCGUGGGGAGCAAACAGGAUUAGAUACCCUGGUAGUCCACGCCCUAAACGAUGCGAACUGGAUGUUGGGAGCAAUUAGGCUCUCAGUAUCGAAGCUAACGCGUUAAGUUCGCCGCCGUGGGGAGUACGGUCGUAAGACUG
rnacentral:rRNA from 1 species